UGCAGUCGAACGGUAACGAUGGAAAGCUUGCUUUCCAGGCGACGAGUGGCGGACGGGUGAGUAAUACAUAGGAAUCUGCCCAGUAGCGGGGGACAACGUGUGGAAACGCACGCUAAUACCGCAUACGCCCUACGGGGGAAAGCGGGGGACCUUCGGGCCUCGCACUAUUGGAUGAGCCUAUGUCUGAUUAGCUAGUUGGUAGGGUAAAAGCCUACCAAGGCGACGAUCAGUAGCUGGUCUGAGAGGAUGAUCAGCCACACUGGGACUGAGACACGGCCCAGACUCCUACGGGAGGCAGCAGUGGGGAAUAUUGGACAAUGGGCGCAAGCCUGAUCCAGCAAUGCCGCGUGUGUGAAGAAGGCCUGAGGGUUGUAAAGCACUUUCAAUUGUGAAGAAAAGUUUAAGGUUAAUAACCUUAAACCCUGACGUUAACUUUAGAAGAAGCACCGGCUAACUCCGUGCCAGCAGCCGCGGUAAUACGGAGGGUGCGAGCGUUAAUCGGAAUUACUGGGCGUAAAGAGUACGUAGGUGGUUUGGUAAGUCGGAUGUGAAAGCCCUGGGCUCAACCUGGGAACUGCAUUCGAUACUGCCAGCCUAGAGUAUAGUAGAGGGAAGUGGUAUUCCGGGUGUAGCGGUGAAAUGCGUAGAUAUCCGGAGGAACACCAGUGGCGAAGGCGGCUUCCUGGACUAAUACUGACACUGAGGUAC
rnacentral:rRNA from 1 species